GAUGAACGCUGGCGGCGUGCCUAAUACAUGCAAGUCGAACGGUCUACGCAAGUAGAUAGUGGCGAACGGGUGAGUAACGCGUUGGUGACCUGCCCCCUUAGAGAGGGAUAACAGCUCGAAAGAGCUGCUAAUACCGCAUAAGAUCUCGAGGAUUAGAAGCUUGAGAUGAAAGCCGAAAGGCACUGAGGGAGGGACCUGCGUCCCAUCAGCUAGUUGGUGAGGUAACGGCCCACCAAGGCGAUGACGGGUAGGGGACCUGAGAGGGUGGCCCCCCACAAUGGAACUGAAACACGGUCCAUACACCUACGGGUGGCAGCAGUAGGGAAUAUGGGAAUGGGCGAAAGCCUGACCCAGCAACGCCGCGUGAGUGAUGAA
rnacentral:rRNA from 1 species